ACGGGUGAGUAAUACAUCGGAACGUGCCCGAUCGUGGGGGAUAACGGAGCGAAAGCUUUGCUAAUACCGCAUACGAUCUACGGAUGAAAGCAGGGGACCGCAAGGCCUUGCGCGGACGGAGCGGCCGAUGGCAGAUUAGGUAGUUGGUGGGAUAAAAGCUUACCAAGCCGACGAUCUGUAGCUGGUCUGAGAGGACGACCAGCCACACUGGGACUGAGACACGGCCCAGACUCCUACGGGAGGCAGCAGUGGGGAAUUUUGGACAAUGGGCGAAAGCCUGAUCCAGCCAUGCCGCGUGCAGGAUGAAGGCCUUCGGGUUGUAAACUGCUUUUGUACGGAACGAAAAGACUCCUUCUAAUAAAGGGGGUCCAUGACGGUACCGUAAGAAUAAGCACCGGCUAACUACGUGCCAGCAGCCGCGGUAAUACGUAGGGUGCAAGCGUUAAUCGGAAUUACUGGGCGUAAAGCGUGCGCAGGCGGUUAUGUAAGACAGAUGUGAAAUCCCCGGGCUCAACCUGGGAACUGCAUUUGUGACUGCAUAGCUAGAGUACGGUAGAGGGGGAUGGAAUUCCGCGUGUAGCAGUGA
rnacentral:rRNA from 1 species